GACGAACGCUGGCGGCGUGCUUAACACAUGCAAGUCGAACGUGAUUUUUAAGGAAAGCCCUUCGGGGACGGAAAUGAAAUGAAAGUGGCGAACGGGUGAGUAACACGUGAGCAACCUACCUUACACAGGGGGAUAGCCGUUGGAAACGACGAUUAAUACCGCAUGAGACCACAAAGCCACAUGGCUUAGGGGUAAAAGAUUUAUCGGUGUAAGAUGGGCUCGCGUCUGAUUAGCUAGUUGGAAGGGUAAAGGCCUACCAAGGCAACGAUCAGUAGCCGGUCUGAGAGGAUGAACGGCCACAUUGGAACUGAGACACGGUCCAAACUCCUACGGGAGGCAGCAGUGGGGAAUAUUGCACAAUGGGGGGAACCCUGAUGCAUCGACGCCGCGUGAACGAAGAAGGUUUUCGAAUCGUAAAGCUCUGUCCUAUGAGAAGAUAAUGACGGUAUCAUAGGAGGAAGCCCCGGCUAAAUACGUGCCAGCACCGCGGUAAUACGUAUGGGGCGAGCCUUGUCCGGAAUUAUUGGGGCGUAAAGGGUACGUAGGCGGUUUUUU
rnacentral:rRNA from 1 species